rnacentral:lncRNA from 1 species
ACGCUGAAGAGAGCAGGGGUGCGGUGUUCGAUGUGAGGCAGAGCCAUGCAUAAGUGGGGAGGUUUUACACUGGAGACAGAAAGCAUUCCAGUUUGCCAGCGAGUGUGUAAAAGACGGUCAGAGUGUAAAGCAAGACAAGUCAGGACGCCUGGGAUGCUACAGUCCUUAAUUUGUGUCCUGCCUGGUAAGCAAAAGGAAGCUCCAAGAAAAACCACACUCCAGUCAACACGAAGCUUGGAAACAGACAACCACGGAAAGACCAGGAAGGCAGCUGUUCUCCAUGCACAGGAGAUGCACAGAGACUCGGCACUGUGUUGGCAAGGACCUAUCUCUUCUCUAACUGAAUGUCAAAGUUGACACAUUCUUGGAGAUAGGCAAAUAUAUCUGUUGGUAAAAUGCAUGCC